AGGAAUCAGACGCUCUCGUGCUAGAAAGCUACAACAUGGUGAGAAGGUUCAGGCACACAGCCUAAUCACUUGCCAGCGUGGCUUGGAGCUCAGGAGUACUCUGCCACGUCUGAGGGAGGGGAGAGGUGUGAAAAGCAAGAGCCCAUUCAGAGCAUCCAGCAGAGUCUGGCACAGAACUCAGCAUCUGUCACUACAGCAUUACUGUCCGGGCUGAUGUCACACAGCAAGAUAGGGAUGACUGCUGGAGUGUUGAGGAGGGUGGGAGCCGUUCCAAGCAAGGCGAGCGCCUGAAGGGUUUACCAAUGCUAAUCUAAUGUGAUUCCUUGUUGCAGAAAGGAGGAGGUUGUGGGUCCAGCAGGCAAGCCACACCCAGGUCCUGGUGUAGCCCUAAACCCAUCUCAACGUUUCCUCCUGGCCGUCCUCCAGUCAUAUUGCGCCCCGCCCCUCCGCCCCCUUUUUUCCCUGAAAUAGUAACAGGGAAACAGUAACCUGCCUACACUCUGUCCCGCCCACCUAUCCUUGGUCUUGUGCAAUCUGGCUUCUGCCUGCUUGCAUGGUGGAAAACCUUCUCUCCACAAAUCUCAGACCCGGUGUCAAAUGACCUUUGGACCACAUCCUUCUUGGCCUUCUGACUUGAACCAAGAUCGCAUUUGCCAAGUGCCAGCCCAGCACCUGGCACACAGAGCCAGCUUCCUGCUUCCUGCCCUUCUGCCUCUGCUGGCUUCUCUUCCUGCCUCUUCUCCACAAGUGGCUGCCCCUCCCCUCUGCUCUGCCUGUGUUGCUGUGAGACCACGGGCAAAGGCUUUCUGAGGCUUGUUUUUCUCAUACAUAAAGCAGGUGUAAAUAUAGUGCCUUUGGAAAAAUGA